GAUAUCUAUCAGCAGAGGACCGAUCCCGUGUGUAUACUUAUUGGGAUCAGUGUGAGAUAGCUUCUUUUUCUGUCAGUCAUCCAGAUAGUUCUGCAGAGUAUUCCGCAUGGAUGGAGACAGAGGUUUUGUCGGCUGCAGCAGUAUCUGCAGUACCGGAUAGCGAGUCAGACGAUGCUGAGCCCAUGGAGGACAUUGAUACCUACAUCGAGGAGGAGCC
rnacentral:lncRNA from 1 species